ACCUCACUUCCGGAGAGAUAGUGCCAAGAUUCAGUAAAAUGGUAACCGCUCCCUUCUUUGGAUGCGCCCCAAACCGUUCCAAACCUGAUAUUCCCGUUCUUCCCUGAGGUUUGGGAAGGGUUGUCGGGAGGGGAGGGCUCCCCACCAUCAACUGUUGGUCGGGAAUGGCUACCAAAGCUUGACCGGUAACCCGCCUAGAAAGGGAACGGUCCCCUUGGGAACUAAGAAUCCGCCCAGCCCCUACCGAGGCAGCAAUGGGGAAAUUUGCCCCAAUGGGCGCAAACCCUGAGGGGGACCCCGCGUGAAGGAAGGAGGCUUCGGAUUUUAAACCCCUUUUGCUCAUGGCCAGCCGCAACAGGGGUGUGUUAAAGUAGUGGAUAAAAAAACGCCGGCCAACUACGGCCAACACCCGCGGUACAAGUAGGGCGCCAGCGUUGUCCGGAAUUAUUGGCGUAAAGGCUUGUAGGCGGUUGUCCGUCUGCCGUGAAAUCUCCGGCUUAACUGGGGCGUGCGGGGGGUACGGGCUGCCUGAGGCGGUAAGGGAAACUGGAACCCUGGUGUAACGGUGAAAUGCGCAGAUCACAAGAAGAACCCCGGUGGCGAAGGCGGUCCCUGGGCCGUUACUACGCUAAGGAGCGAAAGCGUGGGGAGCGAAAAGG
rnacentral:rRNA from 1 species